GACUCUCGGCAACGGAUAUCUCGGCUCUCGCAUCGAUGAAGAACGUAGCGAAAUGCGAUACUUGGUGUGAAUUGCAGAAUCCCGUGAACCAUCGAGUCUUUGAACGCAAGUUGCGCCCGAAGCUGUCACAGGCCGAGGGCACGUCUGCCUGGGUGUCACGCAACGUCGCC
rnacentral:rRNA from 1 species